GAGGAGAGGGAGAAGUGAAGGUGGUGAGCGGGGAUGAAGCAGAGGAGUCUGGGCACGCAGAGCAGCCUUGGGAGAGCAGGAGCAGCAGCAGGCUGUUAGAGCCUGGCCCAGGCACCUUGGCCCCUGAGGGGAGCCCAGGCACAAGCUGAACCUGGCUCUUGUUCAAGAGCGGCUGUCAGGACUCAAAUUAGCAUGGAGGUUAUUUUCAGUCAAAUAUUUCUACAGCCCACCCCUUUCCCCUCCCUCAAAGAGAUUGAAUUUCUUUUUUCCCAUAGUGCUCUGGAAGAGAGGAGGAGAGGAACAAGGCGGGGAGAAAGGCUCCCUGUGCUGGAGGGCUUCUUUGUGUCCAGUUAGCCCAGGACAACAGAUUGCACAGGGGCCUGGGUUUUGCCUGGCCAGGUGUCCUGAGCAGCUGGAAGGGCUUCAGGCACCCAUCUCCUUGGUGAGAGGCAGGUACCCUGCGGUGAUGGCCAGGCUGCUGGCCAGGACUUGCUGCUCCAAAGCUCUUUCUCAGGUUCCCAGAUGCCCACUUAGGUUGGUGGCUGCCCGAGCUUGGAGCCAUGGGCCCCUCACCGCUUACAUGCCUGAAGCCAUCACCUUCUCCAGACCCAAGGACCACCAAGACUUGUACAAGGUUUCAGUGGAUCAAGGGGAUGCCUUCUGGGGAGCACUAGGAAGGAGCCGGCUCACCUGGAUCACCCCCUUCCACUCCGUCCAGGACUGUGAUCUGCACCAGGGCAGGGUGUCCUGGUUCCUGGGUGGGCAGCUGAACGUAACAGUGAAUUGCCUGGACCGUCAUGUCCAUGUAGCCCCAGACAAAGUGGCCUUAAUCUGGGAGAAGGAUGAACCAGGAGAGGAAGUACGGGUGACAUACAGGGAACUGCUAGAGCUGACGUGCCGCCUGGGAAACACCUUGAAACGGCAAGGGGUGAAACGGGGCGACAGGGUGACAAUCUACAUGCCCCCGUGCCCACUGGCAGUGGCUAGCAUGCUGGCCUGUGCCCGCAUAGGGGCUGUGCAUGCUGUGGUGUUCGCUGGGUUCAGUGCAGAGUCCCUCGCAGACAGGAUCCGGGAUGCGCAGUCAGAGACGGUGAUUACAGUGAACCAGGGUCUGAGAGGCGGCAAGGUUAUUGAGCUAAAGAAGACAGUGGAUCAGGCUGUGAAGCAGUGCCCUGGCGUGAAACGGGUUCUGGUUUCCAUGAGGACCACCAGCAAGGUUCCCAUGACAGCCCUAGAUGUGCCAUUGGAGGAGGAGAUGAUGAAAGAGGAUGCAUGCUGUGAACCUGCUGUCAUGGAUAGUGAAGACAUGUUGUUUCUUCUCUACACAUCAGGCAGUACUGGCAAACCCAAGGGCUUGGUUCAUUCCCAAGCUGGUUACUUGCUGUUUGCGGCUCUCACACACAAGUAUGUGUUCGACUACCAGGACAGGGACGUCUUUGGCUGUGUGGCAGACAUUGGCUGGAUCACGGGGCACACCUAUGUGGUCUAUGGCCCCCUCUGCAAUGGUGGCACCACUGUCCUUUUUGAGAGCACUCCUGUCCAUCCUAACCCUGGCCGCUACUGGGAAACAGUAGAGAGGUUAAGAAUUAACCAGUUCUAUGGGGCGCCCACUGCCAUCCGCCUGCUCCUGAGAUACGGUGACGAAUGGGUGAAGAAGUAUGACCGCUCUUCCCUCAAAGUGCUUGGCUCAGUGGGAGAACCCAUCAACAAGGAGGCAUGGGAAUGGUACUUCCGUGUGGUUGGCGAGACACGAUGCCCAGUAGUGGACACAUGGUGGCAAACCGAAACAGGAGGCAUCUGUAUCUCACCCCGUCCUUCUAAUGCUGGAGCAGAAAUCCUUCCAGGCAUGGCUAUGAGACCCUUUUUUGGGAUCAGCCCUGCCCUCUUAGAUGACAAGGGAAAUAUCCUUCUAGAAAACAACAUCUCUGGAGCCCUUUGCAUCUCACAAGCCUGGCCAGGUAUGGCACGAACCAUUUACAAUGACCACAAGAGAUUUCUGGAAACCUAUCUGACUCCUUAUCCAGGUUUUUUCUUCACUGGGGACGGUGCACAUCGUACCAGAAAGGGCUACUACCAGCUAACAGGACGGCUGGACGACAUCAUUAACAUCAGUGGACACCGGCUGGGCACUGCAGAGGUGGAGGACGUUGUGAAUCAUCAUGUGGCAGUGGCAGAGUCUGCCGUCAUCGGCUACCCACAUGAGAUCAAGGGAGAAGGAGCCUACGUGUUUGUUGUGCUGAAGAAGGACAGUGGCUACACACAGGAGACUCUUGCUGCUGAGCUACAGGAGCUCAUCUCCAAGAAGAUUGCUAAGUACGCAGCUCCAGAUUACGUUCAGGUCACACACCGGCUGCCCAAGACACGCUCGGGUAAGAUUAUGCGUCGGGUGCUACGGAAAAUUGUGGAGGACAAGGCCAGUGAGCUUGGGGACCUAACCACACUGGAUGACCAUGAAGCCGUGCAGCAGAUCAUAGAGGGACGCAAGCACCUGGUGGAGGGGCAGAAGGGCUACUAGCUUGGCUCUGCCAGCAGCCACCUCCUCCACCUUCCCUGUAAAACUAGGGAAACAUCCAGAAUUGCCACUAAGCAAGUGGUGGCCACUGCCAGCCACUGCCUCACCCCCAGUGAAAAAGCCAAGACAUGGUCUUCUUAAGGCAAGCCACAUGCCAGAGUGCUAAGCUGAGCAGCAGCCAGUGCACUCUUCCAGCACACCGCACAUGGAGCUCCCAGAAUGGCCUGUGGCACCUUCCUGACUGUUAAGGGCAAAUACUACAAAUCUGGGGAAGAAAAGUUCAAUUUGUUUUACAUUGUCUCUACAGCUUUUAGUUUGCAAUCCUCAGGUUCCUUUUGCCCAGACAGCACUGAGCUGUUCCACAGGCUUCAAGGGAAAGAGAGUUACUUACCUGUGGCUGCCUGCUACUGACACUGGCUCUCUUCACCCACAUCCACCCUGGCUCUCAUGGCAAGUCCUCCAACAGCCAGCAGAGAGUAAGGAACUGGCCCCAUCAGCUAAUCACAGAUGCUUCUGUGAUCCCUCAGGACCAUUUCUCCACUGGUUCUUGUCUUUCUUUGCCAUGUCAUGACUAAGUUUCCCAUAUUGAUUCCACAACCCUACAGAUGUUUGUGAGCUUCAGAUAUGGCAGCUGCCACCACACUCCCCAGCAUAAACACUUCUUUACAUAGCAACUAGUGAGCAUGCCAUUGAACAGGUGCCAUUGGACCUGGACGAAUAAUAUUAAUCACUAAUUCCCUAAGAAGACUAUGUCUUAUAUACAGCUUCUUGAUUUACCACCCUCCACACAAACAAUGAAAUAUUUUCACAACUGAAUCCUCUGCGUGCUAUGCUGCUAAAAUAAUGGCCAAGGCGAACCAUGCUCCUAGCAAACAAGGGAUUUCGUAAAUUUCUCUGUACCAGCUUCUCUUUACACCAGACAUCCCGCCUUCCCCUCCCCCUUUUUUUUCAUAGUCAGUCACUCACCUGCAUAUUUUGGCUGGAGGUAGAAGAGCCGUGCAAAUGAGAGUCUCUGCAUCUCCCCUGG